GCUUUUUGUUUAUAACAGGUGCCCCCCAGCCAAGUUUGCCCUUCUCUCCGUAGAAAAGCCUUUUUUUCUUUAAUCUCUUCGCUUGGCCAAGGUUUUGCUGUAGCUUGUGUGUCCCAAAUUGCAGUUCUCUGCUGUCCUCAAACCAUUUUGCUGGUAAAGCCACUGACAGUCUUAUUUUUAAGUCCCCAGUACAGGUACUGAUAUCACGGACACGGGCAAGCCAGGGAUGUGUCUUGCUUUUGUCUGGCCAAUGACCUGUGGCAGGAGACCGAGCCCCGUGGGUAAAUAAGGAUAACCUCCAUAGAAGGGUAUUGCGAAGACUGGUGACAAUGCCUAGUGCCUCCAAAAUAAAGCUUAUUGUUACAGAAAGCAUUGAAAAUAUAUACAGGCUGACACGCUGCCAUCAUGAAACUCUACGUACCCAUCACCCAGCCUCUGUAAGAGCCAACUCACAGAAAUGAAUUAUGGGUCAGCUUAUGUAAAGAAGAUAACCAGCCAACUUGUGUUCAAAGGGAGAAGACUUGCUUACAUAAAAAC